UACGGGGGGGUAAGCGUUGGUUCGGAUUUACUGGGCGUAAAGGGCGCGUAGGCGGCGUGACAAGUCACUUGUGAAAUCUCCGGGCUUAACUCGGAGCGGCCAAGUGAUACUGUCGUGCUAGAGUGCGGAAGGGGCUACUGGAAUUCUCAGUGUAGCGGUGAAAUGCGUAGAUAUCGAGAGGAACACCGGUGGCGGAAGGCGGCAUCCUGGACCGACACUGACGGCUGAGGAGCGGAAAGCCAGGGGAGCAAACGGG
rnacentral:rRNA from 1 species